GAGCCCCGCCCGCCCGGGCUGACCUUCCCGGAUCGCGAGGAAGGGAGAGGGCUGUCGUCCCGGCCGUGCCCUGCCCUGCGGCUGAGACUUCAGGCCACAGCCCGCGGUGAAGAGUGUCGACGAUGGAAGCGAUUCGCAAAAACAACCGCAGGCAAACAAGACAUGGGAUUCCAAGAGCUGCAGUAGACCUGGAAGCAAGGAAAAGCCCUCCUGAACUACAAGAAGGCCAGCCUGUGACCUUGCACUAUCCCCAUCCCUGGCCCCGGAAUCAGGUUGGACAGCUCAGCUGCAGACCCUGCAGUUGGGGGUGAAGAGGCCGGGUAGGAACAGCUCGCUGGGACCCUUGCAAAGGAACGUGGCAUACUGCGGGCUGGGGAUCUACAGGAAAAAUGUAGUCAUGUUUCAAGAGACCAUAGAUAUCCAAGAGAUAGCAAGAGGACGUGGGAUCAAGUGUCUCACCAGCAGGGCGUACAGGUGUCUCACUGAGACAGAUCCUGGAUGCUGUGGGUGGCUCAGUACUACCUGGUGGAGCUGAACAACCUCUCGAAGGGCAGUCUGGAGGUGACCUGGACAAGCUCACACUGUCCCAAAGCUGUAAACUGCAGUGUGGGGACCCCUGGGAAUCUGCAUUUUGUGUGCACCACGUUUGAGAACUGCUUUCUUGUCCACCUUAUGUCUUUUAAGUUCGAGGAAACUGGAAACCACAGGAGAAGUAAAAUCGCAAUAAUGGCUCAACAGAGAGGCUUUUGGGACCUCGAAGAAGGCAAAACUCUAAGCGAAGAAGUGUGAGUCUCUGAAGGACUGGUAGAGUUCCUUUUGGCAUCCUGAUCACCACAUUCUAAUGGGGUGUGGGGGUGGUUCCCAACACACACAACAAGCCAUUCUUGGACACCAGCAGGGUAUCAGAACACAAUUCAGAUGCUAUCUACCUGGAGAAGGCAUCAGAUUCCACAGCUCAGAUUCCAAAUGUACACAGAGGUGAGAGGCCAUGUGAGGACAUAGCCAGCAGGCGGCCAUCUAGAAGACAAGAAGAGAGGGCCUCCCCGGUGGCACAGUGGUUGAGUGCUGGGUUGCGAGGCUGCCCACAGCCUCUGCAGCGCCAGUUCGGUCCCCAGUCCACCGGCAAGGGUCCCACAAAAAAAUAAAAAGAAAGAAGAAAAAAAGAGAGUCCUCACCAGGAACCCAACUGGCCAGCUCCUUCACCGUACACUUUCCAGGCUCCAGAACUGUGAGAAAAUAAAUUGUGUUGUUUUAGCUUCCCAAUCUGUGCUAUUUUGUUACUGCAACCCAAGCUCACUAAUACAGAAGGUUUGCGAUCUGCUUGGGUUUUCAUCAUUUGCACUCAGCUAAGUGAUGGACACACA